GGGAGGACGUUGCCGCUCUUGCUUCCUCCUUUCUUGUGUAUAUCUGUUUCUAUACAUGAUGUAUUCUUUUAUCCGGUGAUACGUGUAUACAUGCGGGUUGAAUUCCGCUCCUGUCUUGCGUGUAUAUACAGAAACAUAGACUAUUUUUGCUGGUGUAGAUUGCGUAUUAAUUUGAAUUAUUUUGCAAAUGGAUUAUAAUACGAUUAUUUUUGUGGGUGGGAUAAUUAAUCCAGCCAUUGUGGAUUAUCCCUGGAGGGAUAGCCAUUGUGGAUUAUACCUGGAGGGAUGUUAAUCCAGGAUAAUCAACAACUGGAUUAUCCCUGGAGGGAUAGUAACCCAGGAUAAUCCAGCUAUUGGAUUAUCCCUGGAGGGAUAGUAACCCAGGAUAAUCCAGCUAUUGGAUUAUCCCUGGAGGGAUAGGAACCAGGAAUGAUCUAACCAUUGAGGACUAUCCCUGUAGGAUAACCCAGGAUAAUCCGCCCACUGGAUUAUCCCUGGAGGGAUAGUAACCCAGGAUAAUUCAUCACCUGGUUAACAAGUGUAUAGGAAAGAUGCUCACAUAUUUCCCCUCGCUCCGGGAUCGAACCCUGGUCCUUCGGCUGUAAGACACAGAACCGUUGUAUUAAUGUAUGUUUAUUUAUCAUCGUUCUGGGUGAAAAUUUUCACCCUUAAAUUUGUGGCUAGUGAGAAGCUCUUGCUGCAAGGAUUUAGAGCUAUCCUGUCCCAUGGAUCAAACUUGAUUACCUAUUCCACAGGAGCUGUAUGACCCAUAUGAAUUUAGCGCUUCUAAAUGAGAUAGAGUGAUCUGACCUAAAUGGAGCAAUGGUGACCUCUGACCUGGCCUAACUUGAGCACUGGUGACCUUUGACCUGUCUUAACGAGCACUGCUGACCUGUGACCUGGCCUAACUUAAGCACUGGUGGCCUGACCUGACCUAACUUAAGCACUGCUGACCUCUGACCACUUAAGGGAGGCUGUGACCUGUGACCCAGCUGAAGCGGCGAUAUGGCCAGAGUGGUGACCUUGAAGGAGGUCAGUCUCUUCAUCUACGUCAUUACACUGACUACUGAAGUGGUGGGAGGGGAUGAGCAAGAAUACCGUCUGACAAGGUAUUUGCUGGCCAACUACGACGCUUCUGUCAGACCAACUACAAACUCCUCCCAGGCUCUCACUGUUAUCUUCGGCGUCUCCCUCAGGAGUAUUAUUGACGUGGACGAGAGGAACCAGAUUCUGACAACCAACUGCUGGCUGACGCAGAUUUGGACUGAUGUUCACCUCUCCUGGAAUAACUCUGACUUCGGUGGCAUCCACGUCAUCCGGAUCCCCUUCCAGAGGGUCUGGCUGCCUGAUAUAAUCCUCUAUAACAAUGCAGACUCCCAGUAUUCGGUGUCAGCCAUCAACACUAACGUAAUAGUGACGUCUGAGGGCCUGGUGACGUGGUUGACGCACGGUAUCUACCGCUCCUCUUGUGACAUGAACGUCGAGUAUUUCCCGUUCGACAUGCAGGCUUGCAAGAUGAUGUGGGCAUCUUGGACCUAUGAUGGGUACCAGCUGGACCUGGUGAAGCAGACGGAGGCAGGAGACAUCACCAACUACUUGACCAACGGGGAGUUCGAUCUGGUCGAGUUCUCAGCCAUCAAGAACAUCUCGUACUACUCGUGCUGUGCUGAGCCUUACCCAGACAUCACCUACACCAUCAAAAUACGCCGACGUCCCAUGUUCUACGUCUUCAAUUUCGUCCUUCCGUGUCUCCUUAUUAAUGGGAUAGCGCUGCUGGUGUUCUAUGUUCCAUGUGAGAGUGGAGAGAAAGUAACACUGGGUAUCUCAUCCGUGUUGUCCAUGACUGUCUUCUUGAUGACCAUCAGAGAGUCUUUACCGCCUACUGAGAAGACUCCCCUUAUCAGCUUGUACUAUGGUGUGACUAUCUGCUUGGUGAGCCUGGCAUCAGCACUCUCAGUGGUAACUCUAAACCUACACCACCGAGGUGUGAGGGGGGCGGAGGUCCCUCGGGGACUGCACAAGCUGGUGGUAGGUCCUCUCUCUAGGCUGCUACUGCUGCACCUGCAACCUACCACCACUACCACCAUCAGUACAGUUUCACCUCACGACAACAACGUCCUUCUUAAUGAUCUGCAAUCCCAGGAUACAUUACUACAGAAUCCUAGGCUACAGGAUCCAAGGCUACAGAAUCCUAGACCACAUAAUCUGAGACCACAAGAUGCAAGGCUGCGGGAUCCAAGGUUGCAGGAUCUUAGACUACAGGAUUCUAGACUACAGGAUCUUAGAUUACAGGAUCUACAAAGGGGACGCAGGGGUCGGAGUGCCCCCUGCUUCGACAAACUUCACCUGGUCAACUUAGAUUCAGGUGAAGAUGUCACUUUACAACAUAUACUUAACCCUAGGUGGCUCGCUGACCCCCCCACGCCCACCACCGCGCCCACCACCGCGCCCACCACCGCGCCCACCACCACACCCGCACCAGUCCACGCCUCAGAAUUGGAGCAGCAGUUGGUGCGGCUGCUAGACAAGGUGUGUACUGCCAUAGAGAAGACAGAACUCAGACAGCUGGAGCAAGACAGACAGGAGGUCACUAGACUCGAAUGGCAGCAGGUGGCGCUGGUGGUCGACAGGUUCCUGCUGGCCUGCUUCCUGCUGUUUACCAUCAUUGCUUCUGCUUCUAUCCUCCUCUCCUCCCCACACGGGCCCUGACCACGUCUCUUCACCGCCUCCUGCUGCUGCUGCUGACCUUCUUCAACCUCCCACAGAUCGUUGGGAGAGGGACUAGGAUAGUGAUUGUUAUCACCAUCACAACAACCAAGCGUGUUGCUCCACCAUCACCACCACUACCAGACGUCUCGCUGCACCACCGCUGCCACCACUACCAGACGUGUUGCUCCACCAUCACCACUACCAGAUGUGUUGCUCCAUCAUCACCACUACCAGACGUGUUGCUCCACCAUCACCACUACCAGAUGUGUUGCUCCACCAUCACCACUACCAGAUGUGUUGCUCCACCACCACCACUACCAGAUGUGUUGCUCCA